rnacentral:tRNA from 1 species
GCGGAUAUAGUUUACCAGGCAAAACAGCGGUAUAUCAUCAAUACACACAACUUCUUAAAAAUGAUUGAUUGAUAACCGUCUCUAAAGGGUUCGAGUCCCUUUAUCCGCA